UCCACAAUUUAUGACGUCAAAACCUUGCCACUUUAUCUCUGGACAGACCAGGACUGCUAUCCCUAGGCAGCUGCUAGCUAGGGCCAUCCUGCCUGGCUGGCAGAACCAUGCUCCUCCUAACAAGAGAACUGGGAAGCACUCCUUUAUCUAAAUUCUACAUAGUGUAGCUUAGUUUUUCUUAAGCAACUUUAGUAUUACUCCCCGUUUGUCCUAGAUGAAUACAGUGCCUUUCUCCUUAUUUCUGAAACUCCAACAGCUCGAAUAGCUAGAUCUUUGUGUGUUACUCCACACAAGGUUUUCCCUGACAGCUUUUGGUGAUUUCUGAUCUGCUUUUUCAAAUGGGAUACUUUCAUUUGGAUUCUAGUUGGUUUUCUUCGUGUGUUGCCCUCAUUUCUGUUACAAUGUUUCAGAUGUUGAGUUUUCUAGUUAAAAAGUUUCUGUUCCUUUUCUCGAUGUCUAUUUUCUGUUAAGAGCUAGUACCUUUCUGUUGGUGGAAGACUAAGUGUUUUGUCCCAGCAUCUAGGGCACCUGGCACUGUUAACCCUCCAUUUUCUUUUUCCGUGCGAAUAGCUCGUCUUUUGCUGGUGUUUCCUGUGAUGGAAAGCUUUUGAUUCUUUGAUGACUGUGCUGUGGGACUCCAUCUUCCCAUAGCUCUCUGCCAUCACUGAGUAGGUCCAUACCAGUCCCAUCUUGUCAUUUCUGCCAAGAGUUCCUAUUGUCACACACACACACACACACGAAGGGUUAUUAGUUAUUCCUCCUGUUGCUGUGAAAAAUCUCUGACCAGCGCAACUGAAGAAAGGAAAGGUUUAUUUUAGCUGCAGGCGUAAGGGUUCAAUCCAUCACGGCAGGAAGGUGUGAGGACAGGAGCAUGAAGCAGCUGGUCACAGGGCAUCCACAGUCAGAUGUGGUGAAGCAGGGAAUGGUGAGUGCGGGUGCCGCACUCCCUUUUUCCGCCCAGCUGCAUCGUAGAACAGAGCAAGUUCAUACCUGUCUGAACGCAACCACAAACCCAUGAGCAUUCUAUCUAUCUAACUUAGCUUUUGAGGCAGGGUCUUUCUGUGUAAUCCUGGCUGUCAGAAAAUCUCUGUAGACGAGGCUGGCCUCAAACAAACUUAC
rnacentral:lncRNA from 1 species